rnacentral:rRNA from 1 species
UAGUACUGGGACUCUAACCAUAGGCCAUGAAUCUGGUCUUGGGACACUGUCAGGUGGGCAGUUUGACUGGGGCGGUCGCCUCCCAAAAGGUAACGGAGGCGCUCAAAGGUUCUCUCAGUACGGUCGGAAAUCGUACGUAGAGUGUAAAGGCAAAAGAGAGCUUGAUUGCAAGACAUACAGGUCGAGCAAGGAUGAAAAUCGGACUUAGUGAUCCGGUGGUUCUGCGUGGAAGGGCCAUCGCUCAACGGAUAAAAGCUACCCUGGGGAUAACAGGCUUAUCUCCCCCAAGAGUCCACAUCGACGGGGAGGUUUGGCACCUCGAUGUCGGCUCAUCACAUCCUGGGGCUGUAGUAGG